rnacentral:rRNA from 1 species
UAGCCUACGGGGCGCAGCAGUGGGGAAUAUUGGGCAAUGGGCGCAAGCCUGACCCAGCAACGCCGCGUGAAGGAAGAAGGCUUUCGGGUUGUAAACUUCUUUUGUCAGGGACGAAGCAAGUGACGGUACCUGACGAAUAAGCCACGGCUAACUACGUGCCAGCAGCCGCGGUAAUACGUAGGAGGCAAGCGUUAUCCGGAAUGACUGGGCGUAAAGGGUGCGUAGGUGGUUUGACAAGUUGGUAGCGUAACUCCGGGGCUCAACCUCGGCACUACUACCAAAACUGUUGGACUUGAGUGCAGGAG